GACGAACGCUGGCGGUCCGCUUAACACAUGCAAGUCGAACGGUAAGGCCCUUUCGGGGGUACACGAGUGGCGAACGGGUGAGUAACACGUGAGUAACCUGCCCUCAUCUCUGGGAUAACAGUCGGAAACGGUUGCUAAUACUGGAUAUGAGCUUGCAAGGCAUCUUGUGGGUUGGAAAGAUUUUUUUUGGUUGGGGAUGGACUCGCGGCCUAUCAGCUUGUUGGUGAGGUAGUGGCUCACCAAGGCUUCGACGGGUAGCCGGCCUGAGAGGGCGACCGGCCACAUUGGGACUGAGAUACGGCCCAAACUCCUACGGGAGGCAGCAGUGGGGAAUAUUGCACAAUGGACGGAAGUCUGAUGCAGCAACGCCGCGUGCGGGAUGACGGCCUUCGGGUUGUAAACCGCUUUCAAUUGUGACGAAGCUUUUUUGUGACGGUAGCAGUAGAAGAAGCACCGGCUAACUACGUG
rnacentral:rRNA from 1 species